AUGCCAGCAUUAACCCAAUUCCAGAGUAGCCACAAGACAAGACAUCUACGAGCCAAAAUUCAUACGGAUAGAGAUGCAGAAAUCCUCAGUAAAAUCCUGGCAAACAACACUGAAAGGACGAUACAUCAUAACCAGCCUCCCCCGACAGCUCAAGCAGUAAGGAUUCUUCUUGCAUCACAACAGACAGAAGACACGGGUUCAGUCCCUGGGUCGGAAAGAUCCCCUGGAGAAAGAAAUGGCAACCCACUCUGGUAUUGCUUGGAGAAUCCCACAGACCGAGGAGCUGAUGGGCUCCUUGGGGCUGCAGUCCCUGGGGCUGCAAAGGGUCAGACACGACUGAGUCCAGGCAGCAGAUGACUGAUGACCCCGCUGUGCAGACAGGGAGACAGGAGGCCCCGAGAGGCACACAGCUUGUCCAGGGUCCCAUCACUGUUGACGAGGAGGAGCCGAGUCCGAACCCAGCUGUGUCCCCAGAGUGGGGCCCUGGCUGCACCCAGGCCUCCCCGUUGGGGUCACCAUGCAGGGACGUGGCAUGAAGUGGGGGUGACCCCUCGCAGCCCUGAGGGCCCUUGGGGGGCUGUUUGAGCAGGGACCCCAAGUUAUAGAAACCCCAGGAAGUGACAUCCCCUCCCCGAUGAUAGAGCCCAACAGAACUGGGAACCCUGUAACCAGGCGCCUCAUCCUAGAGAAGCUGCUGCCCAGCUGGCCUGGUCGGAACCCUCAGUGAGCAGCGUGUCCUGUGCAUCCUGAGGUCCCGAGGCUGCAGCCACAGACAUUGUCUGAUCAUUUGCCCGGAAGAACCAAAGGUGACACGGGGAGGCCCAGGGCAGCCCAGUCCCGACCCAGCCACCUCUGGGGUCCCACGCGGGAGCCCUGCGUCCCCUCCCCGUGUGUGUGGGAGGGGCAGGCUGAGGGGUCAGAGGGCCGGCUAUGUUAACCCCCAGGUGAAGAUAGCAGGAGGGAGUGGGGGACCUGGGGACCCUCUUGGCUGAGGUUUGUCCCCAGUCCUGGGGGUGGAUCUCACUUCUUCCCGGGACAGGUCUGUGCACCAUCUGGGAGCAGAAGGUCCAGGGGUGGGAAAAGCAUCAUCCUCGUGCGGGCAGGACUCUGGGUCCUCAGGCCACCGGCCCAAGGAGGUGGAGGACCAGGGCACCCCCUCCAUCCCUGCGGGCUUGGGAAUGCACCGGGGCAGGAAGGGGUCUCAAGGAGGGCCGAGGUGGCUGGGAACACCCACCUGCACCUGCCUCCUGCAGGGGACCCAGGGCAGCGGGGACGUGCCUUCCUGUGAACUGCCUGCAGCACCGGAUCCUGACCCGGGACCCUUCUACCUGCUCCCGCGCCUAGAGCUUGCCUUCCCCCUCCCUGAUAUUUCUGUUUCUAAUCUCUGCUUUUCAUUUUCUUCACUUACGGUACCUUUUAGCUGAGGCCUUGCUGUCACAGCAUUUCAUUCUUUGCGCAUUACAUCACGCACUUCCUGAGCAUGGAGUGCGCUCAGGGUGCUGAGCGACCCUCCCCGCGGUUCCACUCCAGAGGAAACCCUGACCCCAGGGCUUGCUCCCUGGCCGCACUCACCUUCCCAGAUGGACCGCCUCCCUCAGAGGAUCUGCUUCCGACCUGAAGGAACCAAAGGCGCUCUCCCCCGGCCCCUGGCAGCCCGGAAUCUGCUUUCUGUGUCUCGUCUGCCUGCUCUGGGUGCUUCCUGUAAACGGAACCAACUUACAGGUGUCUCUUUGAUGUAGCCCAGAUAUGUUAAGUGGGGAGUGGUUAAUUUUUUUAAAAUUUGAAGUAGCAUUCUUGUUAAAGGGAAAUUCUAGGUGAAUUAAAAAUAAGAUGUAAAAAUUGAAGUCUUAUGUAAAUACAUGUACAGUCUAAGGGUGGAGACCCCUGCUGUAAGCGUGGCCCCAGAGCCAGAAGACAGAGGGAAGUGCCCGGCUCCUCCCGGGGCC
ensembl:lincRNA